rnacentral:rRNA from 1 species
GAGUGAACGCUGGCGGCAGGCCUAACACAUGCAAGUCGAGCGGCAGCGGGUCCUUCGGGAUGCCGGCGAGCGGCGGACGGGUGAGGAAUGCGUCGGAAUCUGCCUUUUUGUGGGGGAUAACGUAGGGAAACUUACGCUAAUACCGCAUACGACCUACGGGUGAAAGUGGGGGACCGCAAGGCCUCACGCAGAAAGAUGAGCCGACGUCGGAUUAGCUAGUUGGCGGGGUAAAGGCCCACCAAGGCGACGAUCCGUAGCUGGUCUGAGAGGAUGAUCAGCCACACUGGAACUGAGACACGGUCCAGACUCCUACGGGAGGCAGUAGUGGGGAAUAUUGGACAAUGGGCGCAAGCCUGAUCCAGCCAUGCCGCGUGUGUGAAGAAGGCCUUCGGGUUGUAAAGCACUUUUGUCCGGAAAGAAAUCCUGUCGGCUAAUACCCGGCGGGGAUGACGGUACCGGAAGAAUAAGCACCGGCUAACUUCGUG